AUCUGAUAUCAGCUCACGUAUUAUUUGGUCAUGAAGAAUUGGAUUUGAUUAAGUCAGCUGUGUUGAGAAUGUUGCAUUCAUAGGCAUCACACGCCUUUAAUCUAGGGGAAGCAAGCUUCCUGGUUGUGAAUAGCUCUAGGGAGAGGACCACAUGGCAAAGAACAGUUGAGGCCACUUGACAUCAGCCAACAAAGCCUUGAUGCCUGGUGACAGCCAUGUGAGUGAACAUGGAAAUAGACCCUCCCUCAAUUGAGCCUUGAGAUUGCUAUUGUCCCAGCUGAUAUCUUGAUGGCAGCCUUGAGACUUCACAAUGAGGCCUCCAGUGAAACCACAUGCAAAUUCCAGAUCCACAGAAAUGAAAUCUACAUCAUCUGAUAUUAAUAUACAUCACUCCAGCUUUUUUAAUCAGUGUUAUCAUGGUUUCAUGAUUGUAUUCCAAAUGGCCACUGGACAUCUUUAGUGAUAUCUCACAGGCAAAGGAAACAUGGAAUUUUAAAAAUUUUGUCUCACUGGUUUUGGCAUAAUUACCAACAGGUGGUUGGUACACAGUAUGGGUCUGUUAAAUGAAAGUAAGGGGCCCUGAUUAGCGAAAACCAUCUCAUCAAAGAAGAGUGAAGUUGGAGGACUCACGCAUUCCCAGUUUUAAAACUUACUACAAAGCUACAGUGGUCAAAACAGCAUGGUACAAGGGUGUGUGUG